GACGAACGCUGGCGGCGUGCUUAACACAUGCAAGUCGAACGAAGUGGCGAACGGGUGAGUAACGCGUAAUCAACCUGCCCUUCAGAGGGGGACAACAGUUGGAAACGACUGCUAAUACCGCAUACUGAAGGAGGGGAUUGCGUCUGAUUGGCUAGCUGGAGGGGUAACGGCCUACCAAGGCGAUGAUCAGUAGCCGGUCCGAGAGGAUGAACGGCCACAUUGGGAAUUAGACAAGGGCCAAACUCCUACGGGGGGCAGCAGUGGGGGAUCAUCCGCAAUGGACGAAAGUCUGGCGGAGCAACGCCGCGUGAGUGAUGACGGCCUUCGGGUUGGAAAGCUCUGUUAAUCGGGGCGCGGUACCGGAAUAGAAAGCCACGGCUAACUACGUGCCAGCAGCCGCGGUAAUAC
rnacentral:rRNA from 1 species